rnacentral:rRNA from 1 species
AUUGAACGCUGGCGGCAGGCCUAACACAUGCAAGUCGAGCGGCAGCGGGAAAGUAGUUUGCUACUUUUGCCGGCGAGCGGCGGACGGGUGAGUAAUGCCUGGGAAAUUGCCCAGUCGAGGGGGAUAACAGUUGGAAACGACUGCUAAUACCGCAUACGCCCUACGGGGGAAAGCAGGGGACCUUCGGGCCUUGCGCGAUUGGAUAUGCCCAGGUGGGAUUAGCUAGUUGGUGAGGUAAUGGCUCACCAAGGCGACGAUCCCUAGCUGGUCUGGGAGGAUGAUCAGCCAAACUGGAACUGAGACACGGUCCAGACUCCUACGGGAGGCAGCAGUGGGGAAUAUUGCACAAUGGGGGAAACCCUGAUGCAGCCAUGCCGCGUGUGUGAAGAAGGCCUUCGGGUUGUAAAGCACUUUCAGCGAGGAGGAAAGGUUGAUGCCUAAUACGUAUCAACUGUGACGUUACUCGCAGAAGAAGCACCGGCUAACUCCGUGCCAGCAGCCGCCGUAACAC